CUUACAUUCCCAGCGUAGGAGGGUCCCUUGUCUCCACACCCUCUCCAGCAUUUAUUGUUUGUAGGCUUUUUGAUGCACUGUGGUUUCCUGACCGCUCCUGCCUCGUCCCUGCAUCCCCUCCCUUCCCUGAGAAGCAGCUGUUUGGACCUGCACUUUGGAGCUCAGGGAAGGUCAAGGAGGCUGAAUGAAGCCUAGUUCUCACAAACAAGAAACGGAGGCGGUGUGGAAAGGAUUUGUACUCGGGCCCCCCAGAGUCCCCCCUGUUUCACCCUGGCCCACACCAGCCUCAGCGCUGCCUGACUCACUGCAGUGUUUCCACCUGGACUCCUGUUGCACUCUUGUUUCUCCCGAGGGUUUGUUUCCAAACUGCAGCCAGAAUGAUUCCUUAAAAACGCCUCAGGUUGUGUCCCCUCUCUGCUCCAGACACUGCAACAGCCACCUCUUCAUCUGAUGCAAGACAAUCUCUUCCCCUGGGGCGUUAGUCUGUCCCCUGAGAUGCAGGCACCAAGGUGGCAUUAAAUGAGGGAGGAUUUUAUUAGAGGACCUGCCCAUAAGGAAAAAUCGGGAGAGAGCACGAUGCAGGGAGAGCCAUCAGGCUGCAAGGGCGCAGCUGAAGUGAUGGCAGGCUACUCCCGAGGCUACGCCAGAGACACGGUGGCUUCUCCUCACCUCCCUUGGAUCCCUGACUCUGGGGGACACCAGCUGCCAUAUCGUGAAGACACUCAAGUGGCCCCGAGAGGCCCACGAGGGGAGGAGAUGAGGCCUCAGGCGCACGGCCAUGUGGGGAGCCUCAUGCAGGGAGGUGGACCCCCAGCCCCAGACGAGGCUCCAGAGGACGGGGCUCCGGCCGUCACCUGCCCCGUGGGAGGCCCCGAACCUGUGCAUCCUCGCUGAGCUGCUCUCGCUGCCUGACCCUCAGAAAGUGUGUGACAUUGUACACGUCUGUCGUUCUCAGCUGCUGAGUUCUGGGUAAUCUGUUGGGCAGCAGUAGAUAACAAAUACAGUGGGUACUGUUAUUAUUAUUGUUCUUAUUCACCCGAUCUUAGAGGUAAUGAACGGGACAUUCACAGAAGCUGACCUGCCUGAGUUCCCGCACCUACGAGGGAGCAGGCGGGACCUGGCUCAGCAGAGAGGCCAAGUCCACUCGGCCACACAAACCCCUCUCAGCUCUGCAUUUUACACGUCCGAGGUGAAAGCUCAUGGCAGAAGAGGACUAUGUAUGCUUUGCUAAUUAUUCGGGAAGAUGCGGCUCAUCUACAAACAGCAGAGACUGAGCCACUAGGUCACAGACCUCCAGGACAGCUGAAACACAGAACCACACGCCUGGUCUGGUCGGCAUCCACAACCUCUGGCUCGGAGUGUCCAGCCUUGCGUCUCUGGAAAAUGACAUCAGGCCAGAGGAAUGCAAAAGCUGUCUGCCCACAAGCCCAUACCUCUCCCCGUUUGUACUAGAGCCAGUCUCGCGUCCAUUUCAACUUGGACGGGCUUUCCGUCCAGGCUUGCGGCUGUGUUUGCUUGCAGUAACCAAGGAUUUAACAUCGCGGUGAUGCAGUCUUUCCCAUUGCACCUCUCAUUUUCAAAAAUGCGUGUAUGUGGCAAAGCAAUUAAGUCAUUUUGUUUCAGCUCCCGACUUGACUUCUCUGCACCCCAGCUCUUUUGCAACACUCAUUCCAGCGAUUUAAAGAGAAACCUCGUCGGAAUCGCCUUUUUCAUAAAAUGGUCACCAGCUCCCCUUUGCUGUGCCUUAUCUGCACAGUGCGGGCCAGGGUUUCACGGCUGAUCAGUGUGAGCUGACGUGCAUCCCCCGGGCCCUCCCUCCCUCCCCUCCCCCGGGCAGCCUGGGCUCAGCUGGAGGCCACUGGGCUGGGCGACUCCCCAGUGACGCUCUCUAGUAAGUGAUAGCCGAGCCUUUAUGGGGUGUUUGUGGCCCAGCAGGGGCUGGGGGCGGAGCCACUUCCUAUCUCCUCUGCCCAGCAGCUCCUGCUUCACCAGGGAAGAUUGCAAGAGCAUCUGAUGUCAGCUCUUGGAGCAGCAACCAGUUAAUUAAAACCACAGAGUGUUUGAACACAUGGAAGGUGAGGGGCACAUCAAUGCCAGCACGCUGGUGUCAGACAGACAGCGGCCCUCGGGGGAGCAGGGGGGUGCAGGACACAGACACACGACAGCGUCUUCUCCUGGACAAACGACCCUGCUCUCCUGCCAGCAAGUCUCCCAACCUGAGAACCGAUCCUGGAAACAAAGUGACCAGUUUGAUUUCCUGUGUGUCCCCUCUCCAUGGGGCUGCCUUGUGGUGGGAAAAGCAGGGGCCCUGAAUGACCUCUGAACUCGGCCAUUAUCGUGGCUAAUCAAGAAACUUUAACGUUGUCCCCAAACGCACGCGUGUUAAUCAUCCUGGAGAUGGAGAAACAGGGUCACCGAAUUGUGUCUUUUUGAGAGGCUCCUGUGUCUGGAGGCCGGGCUCUGUGUUGCGGGCUGACCCCUGUGUAUUGUCAGGUCUGGAAGGAGUCAGGAAGGGCCAGCGCCCUGGCGAGUUGUUAGGUCACGGAAGGUAAUGGAGUUUGUCCUCUGCUUGUUCGUGUCACUCAGUUCAAAGCUGUCUGUUGAGUGGCCGUGGGACCUGCCAUCAGCUAAUCUAGAUGCAGAGCAUGCGGGCUCCUGGAAACGCAUAGAAAGACGUUCAGGAUGUCUGUGCAUCAAGGCAAUGAAGUUACCACUUCCCUUCCAUGGCUGGGUCCCAAACCACGCCUGCCAAGGGCUUCAUGGCCACGAGUUUUACGAUAUUCAUGAACAAGACAAUUGUGGCUUUCUGUGGAGUGCUAUAGUAUCUUGUGAGGAUACUAGUCAAAACAUUCCGUAUUAAAAUGGGCCUAUUUAUUAAA